rnacentral:tRNA from 1 species
CAAGAAGUAGUUUAUCAAGAAUGUCAGCUUUGGGUGUUGAUGGUGGGGAGAUGUUCCUUCUUCUUGA